rnacentral:rRNA from 1 species
UACAGAGGUCUCAAGCGUUUGUUUCGGAUUCAUUGGGCGUAAAGGGUGCGUAGGCGGCGCGGUAAGUCGGGGUGUGAAAUCUCGGGGCUUAACUCCGAAACUGCAUUCGAUACUGCCGUGCUUGAGGACUGGAGAGGAGACUGGAAAUUUACGGUGUAGCGGUGAAAUGCGUAGAUAUCGUAAGGAAGACCAGUGGCGAAGGCGGGUCUCUGGACAGUUCCUGACGGCUGG